CCGUACGAUCACCGAAGUUAAGCAACGUCGAGCUUGGUCAGUACUUAGAUGGGUAGCCGCUUGGGAAUACCAACUGAUGUAA